rnacentral:misc_RNA from 1 species
AUACGCUACAUUAAAAACGAUUGAAAUAUCAAAGUAAUUUAAGAGUUUAAGGCAAGAGAUUUUUUUUUAUAAUAUUUUUAGUGAUUUGCUUUAGAUCAUAAUUAUAGAUCGUAUUGCUACCCAGCUAAUUGGAAUGAAACUUCUAAAUACUAAUCCACCAGAGACAUGAUUGUGCCCAGCAAAAGUUUUCAUUCAGAUCGGUCUUCUUGAACACAGUUUCUCUUUACUGUUUCACCAGGCUGGAAGAAAGAUGGCAGAUGCUAUCGUCACCACUGCCAUUGAAAGAAUUUCCGACCUGCUCAUCCAAGAGGCAGCAGUUCUUUCUAAUGUGAGAAAGGAAGUUGAGCGGUUGCAAGCUGAAUUGAGGCGAAUGCAGUGCUUCUUGAAAUAUACAGACUGCAAGCAAGACCAAGAUGAGCUUGUUCGCAACUGGAUAGCUGAUAUCAGAGAAGUUGCUUAUGAUGCAGAGGAUGUCAUAGAUGCCUUCCUGCUCACUAUUCCAAGAAGAGAAGUUGGAUUCUGUGGACUCAUCAAGAAUUGUACGUCUAUGCUCACCAAGGCUCCCCAACUCCGUGAUAUUGGACAACAAAUUUACUCCAUCCGAAAUAGGAUUGGGGAUAUUUCUACUAGCAUGCAGACUUGCGGCAUCAAAUUUGUUGGAGAAGCAGAGGGAUCUAGUUCGGCCAGUGAGAUGCAGCGACGACUCAGGAGAAUCGAUCCAUAUGACGACGAUGAACAUGUUAUCAGAUUGGAAAGUACCACAAAGGAACUUUUGGAUCAAUUGAUGCUAGAGGAUGACCAACGCCGAGUUGUUUCCAUAGUGGGGAUGGGAGGACUGGGUAAAACCACCCUUGCCAAGAAAGUAUACAAUGACACUCAUGUGAAGCAACACUUCGAUUGUUAUUCUUGGGUCUUCGUAUCUCAGCAAUUCUCCAUCAAGGAUGUUUUGGUUGGAAUCCUGAUAAAUGUUGCAUCUGGUGAGGAUAAAUCAAAGUUACUGGAGAGAAUGAAGGAUGAACAACCUCUUAAAUCCAUGUUGGAAAAGAUGAAGGAGGAAGUACAGUUUAAAUCUGUGUUGGAAAGUUUAAAAGAGGAAAGGUUGAUUGAAGCACUUCACAGUGUGCUAGAGGAGAAGCGUUACUUGGUGGUUUUUGAUGAUAUUUGGACAAAUGAGGCGUGGGAUCGUUUGAAACCUGCUUUCCUAAAGGGGAAGAAAGGGAGCAAAGUUCUAUUCACCACCCGUAAUAGAACACUUGCUUCUCAUGCUGAUCCAUGGGGCUCUCCAGUGGAACCUCCAUUUUUGACGGAUGAUGAAGGUUGGGAACUUCUCGAAAGGAAAACAUUCCCGAGAGAGAUCCCGAAGGAGCAUGGCUGUACACCAGAACUUGAGAAAUUGGGAAGGGAAAUGGUGAAAAAAUGCAGAGGAUUGCCACUUGCUGUUGUUGUACUUGGAGGCUUAUUGGCAACAAAGAAGUCAUUGAAGGAGUGGGAGGUGGUUCACGGAAGCAUUAAUGCACAAUUUGUCAAGUGGGAACAACAUCAUCAAUACGGAGGAGUGUAUGGAAUUUUAGCUUUGAGCUAUCAUGACUUGCCUUUCCAUUUGAAACCAUGCUUUCUUUAUCUUUCUCAAUUUCCAGAGGACUGGGAGUUUAAGAAAAGGGAGUUGAUUCGAAUGUGGAUAGCCGAAGGGUUUAUAUUGCAGUCGUCAAUAGGAGGAGAAGAGACAAUGGAAGACGUGGGUGAAGAAUAUUUGGAAGAGCUUGUGAGUAGGUGUGUGGUUCAAGUGAGCCAAAGAGAUCACACUGGAAUAGGUGUGAAAACAUGCAGAAUUCAUGAUCUGGUGCGUGGUAUGUGUAUUUCCAAGGGAAGGACUGAGAACUUCCUUGGAGUUAUACAGUACACAGAAGACGCUGCAGCAAACAGUAGCUCCUUCACUCUGCAAUUGACAUCAAGUAAUAAGUGGCGUAGAAUUGCUAUUCAUCAUCGCAUAUCUGGAAAUGAUGCAAGCAAAAGUGAGUUCUAUAUACCUUUGUUAAAAAGCGGUGAUUCACAUCUUCGUUCUCUUUUCUAUUUCAGUGAAGAUGGUAUGCGGAUGUUUGAUAUGACAAGGCAGCAAGGAAGGUUUAUUUUUGAGAAUUUUAGAUUGCUAAGAGUUUUAAAAAUUGACCAUAUAGGGCAGUCCCGUCUACCUUGGGAAAUUGGGCAUUUGAUUCAUUUGAGGUAUCUUGGACUGUACGGUGCUGGAAUGAAUGAUAGAGUUAAGUGCCUGUACUUAGAGUCAUCAGCUUUACCAUCAUCCAUAGGUAAUCUGCGGAGUUUAUAUACCCUUGAUUUACGAGGUAAUAUGAUGAUUACAUUACCCGCUGCAUUAUCGAAAUUAGAAUGCUUAAGACAUCUGUUAGCGGACAGCAAUUCUUUAUGGCAAGUUAGAUUGGAUAAAUUAAGACAUCUGGAGACUUUGAAGAGGGUAUCUGCAAAGGAUCUAAUUAAAACUGAUGCAGUACAGAAAUUGAUCAAUCUCCGAAAUUUUUCAGUAGAUUUCUGGAGAAAAGAGGAAGUUGAAGUGGUUCUAAGAUCUCCUAUUUUUGUAUUAGGCCGUCCCCGUUCCUUGAAGAUGCGGAUGCAGAUGCGGAUGGAAUCAUUUCCUAAUUUGGAACCACUUUCUAGUCUUCAUCGUCUUACAAAACUAGAAUUACGAGGAGCCAUACCAGAAGAUCCACAUUCCCCGCAUCACAACUUGGAAUACCUACCAGCAAGCCUAGCUAAGUUAACUUUGAUGAAUUCUCUAUUGAAGCGAGAUCCGAUGGGC